rnacentral:rRNA from 1 species
UACAGAGGUCCCAAGCGUUGUUCGGAUUCACUGGGCGUAAAGGGUGCGUAGGCGGUCGGGUAAGUCUGAUGUGAAAUCUCACAGCUUAACUGUGAAACUGCAUUGGAUACUAUCCGGCUCGAGGAAUGGAGGGGAGACUGGAAUACUUGGUGUAGCAGUGAAAUGCGUAGAUAUCAAGUGGAACACCAGUGGCGAAGGCGAGUCUCUAGACAUUUCCUGACGCUGAGGCACGAAAGCCAGGGGAGCGAACGGG